AUUGAACGCUGUCGGCAGGCCUAACACAUGCAAGUCGAGCGAGCGGCGGCCGGGUGAUCAAUGUAUGGGGACUGCCCGAUCGAGGGGGAUAACUCUUGGAAACGGUGGCUACUACCGCAUACUAUCGACUAUCCCAUAUGGGAUUAGCUAGUAGGUGGGUUAAAGGCUCACAUAGGCGACGAUCGCUAGCUGGUCUGAGAGGAUGAUCAGCCACACUGGGACUGAGACACGGCCCAGACGCCUACGGAGGCAGCAGUGGGGAAUAUUGCACAAUGGGCGCAAGCCUGAUGCAGCCAUGCCGCGUGUAUGAAGAAGGCCUUAGGGUUGUAAAGUACUUUCAGCGGGGAGGCGUUACCCGCAGAGGAAGCACCGGCUAACUCCGUGCCAGCAGCCGCGGUAAUUC
rnacentral:rRNA from 1 species